rnacentral:rRNA from 1 species
UACGUAGGGUCCGAGCGUUGUCCGGAAUUACUGGGCGUAAAGAGCUCGUAGGUGGUUUGUCGCGUUGUUCGUGAAAACUCACAGCUCAACUGUGGGCGUGCGGGCGAUACGGGCAGACUUGAGUUCGGUAGGGGAGACUGGAAUUCCUGGUGUAGCGGUGAAAUGCGCAGAUAUCAGGAGGAACACCGGUGGCGAAGGCGGGUCUCUGGGCCGAUACUGACGCUGAGGAGCGAAAGCGUGGGGAGCGAACAGG